rnacentral:rRNA from 1 species
CGUAGGGGGCGAGCGUUGUCCGAAGUUACUGGGCGUAAAGCGCGCGUAGGCGGGGGAUUAAGUGAGAGGUGAAAGGCUGGGGCUCAACCUCAUGCAGUGCCUCUCAUACUGGUCUUCUUGAGGGCGGUAGGGAGAAGUGGAAUGGCUGGUGUAGCGGUGAAAUGCGUAGAUAUCAGUCGGAACACCGGUGGCGAAGGCGGCUUCUUGGGCCGUUCCUGACGCUGAGGCGCGAAAGCUGGGGGAGCGAACGGGAUUAGAUACCCCGGUAGUCCCAGCCGUAAACGAUGGAUACUAGGUGUCGGGGGUAUCGACCCCUCCGGUGCCGCAGCUAACGCAUUAAGUAUCCCGCCUGGGGAGUACGGCCGCAAGGUUG